GAUAGAUGAUCCAAAUGGAAGAAAGAAAAUGAAGUGGAUUGAUAAUUAGAAUUGUAAACGGCUUUGUGAUUCGAUCUUUGUUGUGUUUUGUUUGUUUGUUUUGUUUUGUUUCAAUUUCUGGUGCUUCUUUUAUUAAUCCUAGACACCG
rnacentral:ribozyme from 14 species